GCAGUCGUGGCCGAGUGGUUAAGGCAAUGGACUAGAAAUCCAUUGGGGUCUCCCCGCACAGGUUCGAACCCUGUCGACUGCG
rnacentral:tRNA from 2 species